rnacentral:rRNA from 1 species
GGAAUAUUGGACAAUGGGGGAAACCCUGAUCCAGCCAUGCCGCGUGUGUGAAGAAGGCCUUUUGGUUGUAAAGCACUUUAAGCGAGGAGGAGGCUACUUAGAAUAAUACUCUAAGAUAGUGGACGUUACUCGCAGAAUAAGCACCGGCUAACUCUGUGCCAGCAGCCGCGGUAAUACAGAGGGUGCGAGCGUUAAUCGGAUUUACUGGGCGUAAAGCGUACGUAGGUGGUCUUUUAAGUCGGAUGUGAAAUCCCUGAGCUUAACUUAGGAAUUGCAUUCGAUACUGGGAGACUAGAGUAUGGGAGAGGAUGGUAGAAUUCCAGGUGUAGCGGUGAAAUGCGUAGAGAUCUGGAGGAAUACCGAUGGCGAAGGCAGCCAUCUGGCCUAAUACUGACACUGAGGUACGAAAGCAUGGGGAGCAAACAGGAUUAGAUACCCGGG